UUUACAACAAACCAAUCAUUCCUGUAACGUAUUUUAUAUUUAUUUGACUUUCUUUCGCAUUACUUAUUUUUUUUAUUAACGACU
rnacentral:tRNA from 1 species